rnacentral:rRNA from 1 species
GACGAACGCUGGCGGCGUGCUUAACACAUGCAAGUCGAGCGGGGAUAUUGAUUGGAGGGUUUCGGCCGGAAGGUUGAUAUUCCAGCGGCGGACGGGUGAGUAACGCGUGAGCAAUCUGUCCCAGACAGGGGGAUAACAGAUGGAAACAUCUGCUAAUACCGCAUAAGACCACGAGGUCACAUGAUCUUGGGGUAAAAGGAGAAAUCCGGUUUGGGGUGAGCUCGCGUCCGAUUAGGUAGUUGGUGAGGUAACGGCCCACCAAGCCUGCGAUCGGUAGCCGACCUGAGAGGGUGAUCGGGCCACAUUGGAACUGAGACACGGUCCAAACUCCUACGGGAGGCAGCAGUGGGGAAUAUUGGGCAAUGGGCGAAAGCCUGACCCAGCAACGCCGCGUGAGUGAAGAAGGCUUUCGGGUGUAAAGCUCUGUCCUAGGGGACGAAGGGAAGU